CUGACAUCCUUUUGUAGGUGGUUUCAGAAGUCUAUUCAACUUGAUUCUAGUAUAAGUUUCAUUUAAAGACUCCUUCAAAACAUGGGAAGAAAUCCCCUCUGAGAAGUCAUCAUGCUUAGUUCAUUUGUCACCAUAUUCUUCUCAUCAUUCUACCUGACAUCUUGAAAGAUUUCUUCUGGCCAUCUCCACUUCACAGAUAAAGGGCAAGUGAAGUCUGAAUCAAAACAACAUCAACCAUUAUUUUAUCUCUGUGUUGUUAUCAUUGUAUGUAUCCUCAUAACUUCUGUCUAAA
rnacentral:lncRNA from 1 species